AUUGAACGCUGGCGGAAUGCUUUACACAUGCAAGUCGAACGGCAGCACGGACUUCGGUCUGGUGGCGAGUGGCGAACGGGUGAGUAAUGUAUCGGAACGUGCCCAGUCGUGGGGGAUAACGUAGUGAAAAUUACGCUAAUACCGCAUACGAUCUAUGGAUGAAAGCGGGGGAUCGCAAGACCUCGCGCGAUUGGAGCGGCCGAUAUCAGAUUAGGUAGUUGGUGGGGUAAAGGCCCACCAAGCCAACGAUCUGUAGCUGGUCUGAGAGGACGACCAGCCACCCGGGAACUGAGACACGGUCCAGACUCCUAAGGGGGGCAGCAGUGGGGAAUUGUGGACAAUGGGCGAAAGCCUGAUCCAGCCAUUCCGCGUGCAGGAUGAAGGCCCUCGGGUUGUAAACUGCUUUUGUACAGAACGAAAAGGUUUCUACUAAUACUAGGAGCUCAUGACGGUACUGUAAGAAUAAGCACCGGCUAACUACGUGCCAGCCGCCGCGGUAA
rnacentral:rRNA from 1 species